AGACACGCCCACUUCCGAGUCCAACUUUUGUAUCCUCAGAACUUUAUUACUUCUUUGCCGCACAGCACUGCCGGUUUCAAACACAAAUAAAUAAAUGUGGAGGAUGUCGCUGAGAUUUUAUUACGGAGUUUGUUAAGCGGAGGACAAGCAUCGGAAGGAAGCAGGAGGCCACAGCUGCCUCAGUAUGUCGGGCUGCGGACAUUCUGCCAUGAAGCCGAUGCUAGGUUGUCUGCACGUCAUAGCGGCACUGAAGCCGAGCUCCAGAGCUUGUGAUGUGUUGUGUGCAUCAGGAAGGAACAUACAUAAAAGGAACGUGUUUUCACCAGUGUUAAAGAAACUCUACUUUGAUACCCACGUGGUGGUUCAAGCCCUGGAGGCCAAAGGAUUCACAACUCAGCAGUCGGAGAUGAUUGUGUCAGCACUGCUUAAAAUCAUGAAUGCCAAUAUGGACCUCAUAUAUCACGAUAUGGUUUUCAAAGUACAGCAGGAGAUUAGUCUUCAGCAGGUCAUGUCACACAUAACCUCUGCAAAAAAGGACAUGAUCAUCUUGGAGAGAAGUGAAUUCUCAUCUCUAAGAACAGAAAAUGAGAAAUUAAAGAGUGAGCUAGACCAACUGAAGAAGCAGGUGACUGAUGAAAUUACCAAAGUCCGUGCAAAUAACAAAUUAGACUUUAAUUUGGAGAAAAGCAAAAUUAAAGAAAUGUUUGCAGACAAUGUGCGGAAACUUGUGGAACUUCGAACAGAAAUAGUAGAAAUGCAAUCCCAGGAGGACAGAUCACUGACACAAACAAAACGAAAGAUUGACACCGAAGUAGCAGGAUUGAAGACUAUGUUAGAAUCCCAUAAACUUGACAGCAUUAAAUACCUUGCAGGAUCUGUGUUUACAUGCCUUACAAUAGCUCUGGGUUUUUACCGCUUGUGGAUGUAACAUUCAACGGCACAGAUCAGAAAAUGAGACUGUCAUCUUCUCUUAUGUUAUGAGAAGCAUACUGCGUAUAUGAUGAUUCUGUGGCAUUUAUUCACGUGUUUCUAGUGACAAGCAGCUGUGUAACCAAAUAGUGAGCAACAGUGUACAUGAACCACACAACAUGGAGUGAAUGUUCUUCCGUCCACUCAAUAAAAAGGAUCUGUGUUCACAUGCCUUACAAUAGCUCUGGGUUUUUACCGCUUGUGGAUGUAACAUUCAACGGCACAGAUCAGAAAAUGAGACUGUCAUCUUCUCUUAUGUUAUGAGAAGCAUACUGCGUAUAUGAUGAUUCUGUGGCAUUUAUUCACGUGUUUCUAGUGACAAGCAGCUGUGUAACCAAAUAGUGAGCAACAGUGUACAUGAACCACACAACAUGGAGUGAAUGUUCUUCCGUCCACUCAAUAAAAAGGUGCUUUCUAUUAA